UCAGAGACCCCAGCCAGUCAAGGCCAGGGCCACUCCCCUCAGCCUGAGGUGGAGGCUGGAGGACCUAUGAACAUAACUGUCUUGCCAUUGGUGCCAAGAGAAGCUCUUUUGCAAUACAGUAUAGGAAAAGAAGAAACCAGACUGUUGAAGGAAGUGCUGGUCAUCUUGGGAUGGGUGGGUUUAGGGAAGGUUCUCACACUUCCGUAUAACAGAGUCCCCUCCAGAAGUGAGAAGGAGCCUGAUCCUCGGUCUCCCACAUUCUCCUGGGGGCUUUAUCCCCAGUCCUGUGAGUCCCCCAGGUAUUCCCUCUCAGAGCUCCUCUCUUGCCUCCACAACUCUGCUUGUCUUCUCAUCAUCCCCUGGAAGAUACUGAGGUGAUGAGUGUGCCCCUGCUACUGCUGGUGCUGCUGCCAGCACUUGCACAGGCAGAUAACUAUGGCUUUGGGGUUGAGCAGCCAGCACACCUCUCAGCCCCCAAAGGUGACACCAUCCACAUCCCCUUCAGCUUCUAUCACCACUGGGAGUCAAUCGACGUGAGUAUAUCCUGGAGGCGGGGUCACUUCCAUGGGAAGUUCUUCUACAACAUGACCCCACUUUUCAUCCAUGAGGAUUACAAGGACCGGCUCUCACUGAACUGGACAAAGGGUCAGACUAAAGGCUACCUCAGGAUCUCGGACCUGCGGAGUGAGGACGAGAAUGAGUACUUCUGUCGAAUCCGAAUAAACACACAGAGGCAUGGUGUACAGCAGUGGCAGUCCAUCCACGGGACCACACUCACCAUCAUUAGUGAGAAUUUGCAGCCAGGUGCCAGGACCACCACCCAGGGCCCCACCACCACAGCCAGCCUCUUGAUGGAUGAAAGCUCAGCGUCUGGGCCUCUGAGUCUGGGAGCCAAGGUUGGAGUGGCAGUGGCCUGUGCUGCAUUCAUAACCGCAGUGUUGGGAUUGAUGCUAUUCCUCAGGUGUAAGAGAAGAAAAGGUGAAAGCUUACACAGCAGGACUGCCUCGCAGAGCAUGAAGAAGCAGGGACAGGCAGGAUGGAGAAAUGCUGGUCUCCCUGGAGGUACAGCCACAUUGACUAUUUUGGUUCCAACAGGUCGACAGACUAAAGCCAAAACCCCUGCCAGGGAGCCCUUCCAAAACACUGAGGAGAAAUAUGAGAAUAUUGGGAGUAAAGCAUACCUUGAUUCUUCCCAAGGACAAGAUACAGAUCCCAAGCUGGACCACAAGCUUUCUUUUUUUGGGACUUGCCCAGGACAACGGCAUCGUCUAUGCCUCCCUUGUCCUCUCCAGUCCGACCUCCCCAGAAGCACCUCCCUGCCAACCUCACCAUGGGAGCCUCCAGGCAGAGACCCUUUACACUGUCUUAAAGGCCAAAUGAGUGUGACAGUCCUCUCACCUGAACCAAGACUGAAUGACAACCUCCUUCGACCAAGAUCCAUCUGACGUCAGCAAUGAAUGAUAUCCCUCGUGCCAAGUCCUCUUCUGAAUCCAGCCUGAAUUUCUGGCAGUUCCCUUCGAUGCACUGCUACAACCGUUUUUUAAUUAUCUUCAGCAAAAUUUUACUUGUGUGUGAUAUUUAUGAUAAUUUCUCCAUUCUGUUGGAUCACCUUUCUUUGGAAUGGGCACAAAUAUGCAUCUCUUCCAGUUGAUUGGCCAGGCAGCUGUCUUCCAAAUUUCUUGGCAUAGACAAGUGAGCGUUUUCAACAUUGCAUCCAUUUAUUGGAACAUUGCAACUGGUAUUCCAUCAAUUACUGGAGCCUUGUUUUUCACCAAUGCCUUCAGCGCAGCUUGGACUGCUUCCGUCAAGACCAUCGAUCCUUGAUCAUAUGCUACCUCCUGAAAUCUCCAUUCUUCUUCUUCUUCCAUUGUCAUCAAGUGGAUUCUGACUCAUAGCGACCCUAUAGGACAGAGGAGAACUGCCCCGUAUGGUUUCCAAGGAGCAGCUGGUAGAUUCGAACUUCUGACCUUUUGGUUAGCAGCCUGAGCUGUUAACUGCUUCGCCACCAAGGCUCCGAAAUCUCCAUUAAACCAAAAAAACCCAUUACUGUCGAGUCGAUUUUGACUCAUAGCAACCCUAUAGGACAGAGUAGAACUGCCGCAUAGGGUUUCCAAGGAGCGGCUGGCGGAUUCGAACUGCCAACCUUUUGGCUAGCAGUUCUACCUCUUAACCACUGCACCACCAGGGCCCUGAAAUUUCCAUUAGGGAGAUGCAAAUCAAAACCACAAUGAGAUAUCAUUUCAUACCCACUAAAACGUCUAAGAUUAGAAAUUCAGAAAGUAACAGUUGUCGGUGAUGCUGAGAAAUCGGACCCCUCAUCCAUUGCUGGUGGGAUUGUGAAAUGGUACAACCACUGUUGAAAAAAGUUUAGCACUUCCUCAAAAAGUUAAACAUACAGUUCCCAUAUGAUCUAGCAAUUCCACUCCUGAGUAUAUACCCAAAAGAAUUUAAAAAAGAAAUGCAAACAGACACUUGUACACCAAUAUUCAAUGCAGCAUUAUCUGCAAUAGCCAAAAGGUGGAAACAGCCUAAAUGUUCAUCAACAGAUGAAUGAAUAAAUAAAAUGUGGUACAUACAUACAAUUGAAUACUACUUAAUCAUAAAGAGAAAUGAAGUCCUGAUACAUGUUACAACUUGAAUGAAAACAUUAUGCUGAGUGAAAUAAAUCAGUCACAAAGGGACAAAUAUUGUAUGGUUUUACUUACAUCAAAUAUCUUAUAAGCAAGAGUAUAGAAACCAAAGUCUAUCAGUAACCACUGGAAAUUACCAAGGGCUGGUGAGAGGGAGGGGAAAAGAGGGACUCACUGCUCAGCGGACACAGAGCUUCUGUUAAGAGUGGUAGGGCAAUUUGGAAGUGAGUAAUGAUGAUAAUGGUCAACCAACAUGAUAAACAUAACUAAUGUCACUGAAUUAUACACAUGAAGAACAUUGAAAAGGCAAAUGAUUUGUUACAUAUUUACCACAAUAAACAUAUUAAAAGAUAAUGUAAAAAUCUAUAUUUCAUAUGCUUGGAAGAGAGAAGCUGAGGAAACAAGUGAAUAAAUAUCCUAAGUGGCCUCAUAGGGAAAAAGGGAGAGUGAAGGGACGCAACCUGCUAAUCUCUGAAGUUGCUCCUUUAAGAACCAAAAAAAAAAAUACAUUUAGAACUGAGAUUAUCAUCAAGAAAGAAGUUUAUAGAGAUGUGAGAAAUUAGAACAAUUGAGGAAGAGACCUGUAAGAGAUAACACCAGUCAAUCUGGGCUACCUUGAGACACGGACAGGAUGAGUCCUUGGAAAAUUAAAUCUACAUAACCAGAUGCCCUAUAGGAAUCUCCUAAAAGGAAACCCCAAGAUCUUUAUUUAAACCAACAGUUAAGGUAAAUCUUACUUUGUUUUCUUCCUCCUCUUCCAUCUCUGACUCCACUUCCUCUUCUUUCUCCAAGCAGGAAUCUGGGCUGUUAGGCGCAGAAAGCAUUAAGUCUAGAACAGAAAAAAGAAGGUAAGGGUAAAUAACUUAUCCAAUAAAACAGUAGGUGAAUUAAUGAAGCUGAUCCCAGAGAAUCAGUAUUUUCACUCCACCCUUCAUGUCAGUGGUAUUUUCUUCAUAAAACAUGAUCCCAGAUUAUCAUGGUUCCACCCUUUCAAAGUCCACCAGUAUCCAACAUGCACCCUCCCUCCCCACCCCCUUUUGUUUAUUCUUCUCUCCGUGCAUUCAUCCAUCCGAGAUACUUGGUCAAUGACAUUCACAGAACGCCUCCUACAGAAUCCAGAACUAGGCUGAUAUCGGUGGAUAUAAAACAAAGAAAAGCUUCAAUUGCUGCCCUCAUGAAGGGAUCCCUUCUCUCCCUCUCCACUCCUCACCCUGUAAUGGUCAUCCAGUUAUCCUACCUUUUCCUUCCCCAGUACUGUCAAAUCUGUUGUACCGGCUGCGGAAACCAAAUAAGUUAACCCGCUCCUGUUGAAACCAAGAAACGAAAGCAUCAUCUACCUUGGGAAAUGUAGUCCACUAUACUCCCAAGGGUUAUUUUUGUCCUGCCUUCUAGAUUUUAAUAAUGAAGAUUUUUAUUUUCAUUUUCUAUACCAUUUUCACUUGGAAUUUCACGUUAGGCUUAUCUGGAUUUUCAUGGAGAUUAGAUAAUUAUAAUAUCUUUUUCCAAUUUAUUUCAUUUAUAAUUCAAUAAAUAAGUGGGAAGGAGAAAUUCAGUUUGUCAUUUUCCACCCUGCCCCAUUCCCAAAGGCAGAGUUUGAGGGUAAAAACUGACUGUGCAGAAAACAGAGGUUAGGACUUAAGAGUAUCUGAGACUCAGAGCUAAACAGGGAGGUAGAAUGGUCCCUACCACAAGCUGUCUCUAUCUGAGCUGACAGAGGGCCCCACUUGUCAAAAGGCAGGGAAAGGAAUGGAUGAUUAAAGGAGUCAAGGGAAUCUGGCCUGGGAAGAAAAGAGUAGUUCUAAGACUAUAAUGGGGAAGGACAACCUGGUUUUCUGCAGUGUGACAUGUAUGGUUUGUUUUGUGUUACAAGUCCCAGAGAGGAAAGGGUAUGUAGGUCUGAACACUCUCCCACCUGAAUGCUGAUCUGUUCUGCCGCUUGAGCCAUCAUUAGGGCUGCCCCCAGUUUCUGUCUGCAGUCCUUGUUCCUGCACUUUUUCUGAAAUGGAAGAUAAGAGUCAAUGAUAAAUACUGACCUGAAGAUUAAAGUCAGUAAUAAAAAUUAGGGAGGUGACCCCAGUACACUGCUACUCACCAUACAUUGUCUUUAACUACAUUUAUUUCCAGUUUCUGGUAAUAAUAUGAUACUCCCAUUCUUAAUCUUUUGGGGUCAGAAACAUCCUCCCUGCAACAUUUCAACCAAUAUUUUGGUAUCCUCUCUAAAAGGAAUCCCAUGGAAAUUUGAAAAGACAAGAUGAAAGAAGUUCAAGUGAUUUCGCUUUCAAGCUUCUCAGAAGAUUGUUUAGAUCCGGAUGCCUGAUAUAUCUACUGCCUGAGCUGCUGGGCCUCUGCUCAUUUGUAACCCAAAGUGACUACUGGGAGGAUACGUGAUUUAGCUAAUCCAGUGGUUCUCAGCAAGGGCAGGUUUGCUCCCUAGAUGCAUUUGGCAGUAUUUGGAGACACUUCUUUUGGUUGUCACAAUGUGGGCCCAAAAUGUCAAUAGUGCUGUGAUUGAGAAACUGAGUUAACCUAUGAUCUCAUUUCUGCCACACGGGCUUUGGCUAAAACCAGGGUUUUCAAGAAGGCUCCCUCUGUGUAGGCAGGGAAGGAGACUGAGAAAAAGCAAUACCCUGCUGCAAUCCCGGUAGAAAGAAGAGCCCCUCAUGAAUAACGUCACCCUUGUCACACUUGGUCAGACAGUGGACUUUCUCCCAACACAGCUUCCCCUGGGAGAAAAUCAGGUAUAAAAAAAGGGAAGGUUUAGUUUUCAGGUUCCCUGUAUCAUGACUGAUUCCGGAAGGUUGCUUACCACUCCAGCUAGCUCCAGGGACAGCUCCUGAAAGUUCUUUAGCAUGUUGACUGGGAUCCAAGCACGAGAAACUGUUUCUCCAAAAAAUGUCACGUGGUACUUAGACUGAAAUAAAAGAUGGUUCUGUAAGGGCCUCCUGUCCUUCCCCGUGCUUUGGCCUUCUAGCCAGAAAAAGCAGGGGAAGAACUGAGAAUUCACAGUGAAGGAGAUACCUGGCCUCAUCUGCUCCCUUAAGCCUGACUCACCGACCCUACCUCAUUCCAUUGUUCUUCCACUCUGACUUCAGGAAUCAUAGUCAAGGUAUAUUUAUCAAAAUCAUAAAUGUCCUAGUAAUGAACACUUAAUUAGAUACAAGUUUGUUUCUAUGUGUGAAUACUUAUGUCUGUAUUUGUUACUCUAGUUCAGUGUCUGUUUCUGCUUAUGUCUGCAGGCUGUAUCUAUGUUUGUAACUCUGUCCAUCUGUUAGAAUGGAUUUGUUCGUUACUUUGGCCUGAGCACCUGCCUCCCCCGAACUUCUUGCUUCAUAAGGGAGAUGAACUGUUAAGUGAGAGGAAACUCACCGGCAGAGAAUCAAGAUGAGAAGCAAAAAGAAAAUAUUCCCCCAGGUCAGGAUCAGAUUCUACCAUGCCUGGCCACCUGGAGAAGGUGGAUGGUGCAUGGGAAGAAAGAGAAGGGGUUGAAUGAGCAAAACAAAAACUCAUCAAUAUAUAUGUACAGAAAAGGGCAAUAUGUUUUUCAAACAAAAGAUCCCAAAGAUAGACCCCCUCUCAGCCCUCUCCAGUGGCUGCUACCAAAUGACUGAAAUGACUUCCAUGCACAUACAAAAAAGCUCAGAAUCUUCCUAGUAAACAUACCUCACCCUUCCACACCUUCCCUCAGUCCUGAGAACAAAAUCUUCUGACUAGGGACAAUUCCAAAGAAGAAACUGUCCUACCCUUCCUUGUUUUCUUUACUUUGUAUGGCUCUCACAUCCAAUGUUAAAAAAUGCCCUAAAUCUACCCUCCCCUUUCUACCUACUGUCAGACUCUUGUUUAUAUAGAGAUACCACCUCCACCCUACAAACUCUAGAAAAUAUGCUCUUUCAAAGCCUCCAAGCUCAGUACUUUUAUCUUCUCCCUCACCCCAUGCUCUUUCUAAGACAAGUGCCAUCCCCAUUAUAAACACUUUCCAUUUCCUCCCCUUCCUCCUUGAAUCUACCAUUCCCAGGUUCAUGAAGAAUGCUCGGACUAGUUCAUGGUGACCUACCAGGGGUAACCAUAUUGCUUGGCCCAGAUGAUGGAUCCUGGGAUGUAGGAGGCAUAAGCCACAUCACUCUCAUGACCUGUCCAGGUCUCCUCAGGAAUAUCACAGCUAUUAUACUCCAAAUCUGCCAAAAAAGAGAUGGAAUGAAGGGAAGAGAAGAGGCUCAUCAAGUGAAAAUACAGAUGAGGGCUGGGGAGAGGCAAGAGAUGGGACCAAAAGAGCAUCUGGGAGAAGGGCAUGGAGGAGGAAGAAUAAAGAUCCAGAGGGAAAGUGCAGCUAGAGCCAAGAGAAGUAGAAGUGCUGCCUCCGUAUACUCUAUGGAAAGUGAUUACAAACAUCUGCUCUUAUCGCACUCUGUCUGGCUCUGCUCCCCUCUAACUAACACCAUGACAGUAACUUCUAUGAGACUGCUUCCUCAUCUAUGAAAUAAUUGAGCUGGACUACAUUGCCAUAAUCCUUUCUAAUAAAGUUUCAUUCUAGAAUUCUAAGCUCACUGGAUCACUCUCAUCUGCUUUCCCCCAUAUAGCCCAUUACCCUCCCUAUCCACCAGCCCAAUGUCAAUAAUCUAAUGAGGAUCAACAGGGUCAGACCAGGGCUGAAGAAAAUGGAAUUCACUCAAAACAUAAGUUUAAGAUUCCAGGCCUUCCCCUAUAACGUAACUCUGCAGGAUGUCUUCCUCCAGCUCACUGCACCCAGAUUCAUCUUGACAUGAUACGAAGACCCCUUCCUCUCUUCCAAGCACUACAAGGACCACUUGUGUGAUAAUGACACCUAUGUCAUAUUUAAUCUAAAGGAUACAUGCAGAGAAAGAAAGGAGAAGAACAAUAAAAUCUGGAAGAAAAAAAAUUUCCACUCCAUUCUACCUGUAUUCUGGUCACAGGACCAAUUAUCUGGAAGAGCAGAGGGGUCAAUAUUCCUAUGCAGCCGCCUCCAUUUCUCACAGUUUGGGGAAGAACACUGGACCCAGACUAGACAUUGACCUGUGACAGGAAAAAACUGAAAGACUCAAAAAUAUGCUCUUCCUUCUAUAAUAUAACUAAAAUUAAUAUAAACCUCUGCCCACCAACAAAUCACACAGGCCCAGAGACCUUAGAGAUCAACUAGUCCAAUCUCUGACUUAAAAAUGGAAAACCAAGGCUCAGAGAAGAUAAUGGACUUGAAGAAAAUCAUCCAUUGGUGACAGAGCUGGACUCAGGACCCAGGUUUCACAUCCCAAUGUUUCUCCUAUACCAAGCUAUCAUCUCACCUCCCAUCAAGGCACAAAGGAGUUUUUCUAGUACUGACAGUACUUUUAAUAAAAAGGUUGUCUGGCCUCUUUCCCCAUAGUACCUGGUUCUCUGUCACUUUCAAAAAGUUCUUUUAAAGGGCUAACCAGCAUUUCUUUUGUAUACAACAACCAGAGUUCUUAUCUAAAUAACAACUGAUUUACUUGUCACUAAAUCAUCAAGUUGUGGCUUUGGGGUCAACAGGCUCACCUUCUUCCAAAAGACCCAGGUCUAAGUCUGUCAUUUCUCAAUCAAUUAUUUACCCUCAGUCACUGCUCACAGGCUAAGCAUUCUUUUUAUCCGUUACCUUCCAAAUCCCCACACUUCUCUGUAUCCCCACAUCCUCUAAGCUGAUCCAGUGCCCCCACACAGCUUCCCUUCUCUCUUCCAUCUCCAAUUUUCAAGCCCACAGGGGUUUUCCAAACCAUAGCCAAACUCACCAAAACCACCUCCCUCUCUUUUUUGCUGGUCCCUGAUCUGAGAAUGAUUCUGAACUGUUUUCUUUGGUUGGUCUUUCUGUCUGUGCUCAUGUUCACCUCGGAAUUUCUCCAGUUCUUCAUUUCCUAGAACGAUAAGGCAAAAGGGUGGGGAGUCGAAAAAGAGAAACUGUAUAGAUAGUAUAGGCCAGUGAAAGAUGGAAGAAGAAUCAUAGCCUAAUAGUUUCAAGCCUUCAGCUGGAAAUUCUUGGCCUUCCCGCUAUCCCUUACCCCAAUUUCCCAGAGUACCCCACUUUCCCGUCAGCCAAAUGACAAAGUAUACCUGACCAUACUUACGAGCUUCCUUCUUUCUUUUGUUUAAUGAGAGUUUAUCGAAUUUCUUCUCAGAAGGUGGGGGAUCUGGCUGGCCUGGCUUAGAUGCAUUUAUCUCACGGACAACUCCAUUUUCCUGAGAUGCUGAAAUCUCUGGAGUAUGAGGCCAUACCCAAGCACUCCUGUAGGGACUUCCGUAGCACAAUCUGGACAAUCUCUUCAAAUUCUGCAUUGUCCCUGUACCGGAAACUCACUCUUCCAACUCUACCAUCUCCCACCAAAGAGACUCAAAAGCAGCAUAAAAUGGAUCCCCUUGUUCAAGGCAUGAUCUGAAACAAAACUUUUUAACAAGAAAGAAAAAGAAACAAUAAAGAUUCCAGCUACCCUUACUGACCAUUAUACAUGUAACAAGGUAUUUACUGUCGCAUCUAAUAGUACCUGCCUGAACUAAACUUUGUACAGAAUCUUAUAAAGAAAUUAAUGGUGAACUAAAACCUCCUGAUUCAGAGA